rnacentral:tRNA from 1 species
UCCUGGCUGGCUCAGUCAGUAGAGCAUGUGACUCUUGAUCUCAGGGUCGUGAGUUCAAGCCCCACGUUGUGUG